AACGAACGCUGGCGGCAUGCCUAACACAUGCAAGUCGAACGAACCUUCGGGGUUAGUGGCGCACGGGUGCGUAACGCGUGGGAAUCUGCCCUUUGCUUCGGAAUAACAGUUAGAAAUGACUGCUAAUACCGGAUGAUGUCUUCGGACCAAAGAUUUAUCGGCAAGGGAUGAGCCCGCGUAGGAUUAGGUAGUUGGUGGGGUAAAGGCCUACCAAGCCGACGAUCCUUAGCUGGUCUGAGAGGAUGAUCAGCCACACUGGGACUGAGACACGGCCCAGACUCCUACGGGAGGCAGCAGUGGGGAAUAUUGGACAAUGGGCGCAAGCCUGAUCCAGCAAUGCCGCGUGAGUGAUGAAGGCCUUCGGGUCGUAAAGCUCUUUUACCAGGGAUGAUAAUGACAGUACCUGGAGAAUAAGCUCCGGCUAACUCCGUGCCAGCAGCCGCGGUAAUACGGAGGGAGCUAGCGUUGUUCGGAAUUACUGGGCGUAAAGCGCACGUAGGCGGCGACACAAGUCAGAGGUGAAAGCCCGGGGCUCAACCCCGGAACUGCCUUUGAAACUAGGUUGCUAGAAUCUUGGAGAGGUCAGUGGAAUUCCGAGUGUAGAGGUGAAAUUCGUAGAUAUUCGGAAGAACACCAGUGGCGAAGGCGACUGACUGGA
rnacentral:rRNA from 1 species